UACAGGGGGUGCAAACGUUGCUCGGAAUCAUUGGGCGUAAAGCGCACGUAGGCGGUCUGUUAUGUCGGAUGUGAAAGCCCUCAGCUCAACUGAGGAAGUGCGCCCGAAACUGCAGAGCUUGAGUACCGGAGAGGAUGGCGGAAUUCCCCAAGUAGAGGUGAAAUUCGUAGAUAUGGGGAGGAACACCGGUGGCGAAGGCGGCCAUCUGGACGGAUACUGACGCUGAGACGCGAAAGCGUGGGGAGCAAACAGG
rnacentral:rRNA from 1 species